AAUAUUGGACAAUGGGCGAAAGCCUGAUCCAGCCAUGCCGCGUGUGUGAAGAAGGUCUUCGGAUUGUAAAGCACUUUAAGGUGGGGGGAAGGGGUUGAAGCUAAUACCUUCAAUCUGUGACGGUACCAACAGAAAAAGCACGGGCUAACUCUGUGCCAGCACCCGCGGUAAUACAGAGGGUGCAAGCGUGAAUAGGAAUUAGUGGGCGUAAAGCGCGCGUAGGUGGUUCAGUAAGAUGGAAGUGAAAUCCCCGGGCUUAACCUGGGAACUGCUUUCAUAACUGCUGAGCUAGAGUACGGUAGAGGGUAGUGGAAUUUCCUGUGUAGCGGUGAAAUGCGUAGAUAUAGGAAGGAACACCAGUGGCGAAGGCGACUACCUGGACUGAUACUGACACUGAGGUGCGAAAGCGUGGGGAGCAAACAGG
rnacentral:rRNA from 1 species